AAAAAUUUAGUUUAAAAAAAACAAUGGAUUGUGGUUCCAUAAAUCUUAUAAUUUUUC
rnacentral:tRNA from 1 species